GUUUAAGGUCUGUACAGGUCUUUUGGACACCUUAGAUGGGCAGAGCUUAAUGUUCAGCUACAACAGGUUGCUGAAAGCGGGCUCUGGUAAAUCAUUUAGGAGCAGGAGGCACCCACAGAUCUAGUACUGCCAAUUCAGGCCGACAGGCAUCCAGUCUCCGUGUUCCUGGCAAACUUCCAGCCCCCAUUUCCCAUCCGAGCCUCGUCCAGUUCUCCAUGUAAAAGCACCAUCUACCUGAGCAGAGCGUAUGCUUCUGCACUACCACGUAGGUACCACAAAAACAAGGCAAUUUCACAAACAAGCGCGGCGGAUGCUACAAGGCCCCUGGUAAGGGUUGGCAGAACCUAGAGGAAGCAGACCAGAGGGGUAAGACGAUAGCCUGUAGGACGCCAUAGGACGAAAAGAUACUCAGCGUCGGACCCUGCGCCACUGCGCAUCAGCACUACGCCCACAGCGUGAGCUCUGAUGGCGCUGUCUCUGAUGUCACCACGCUGCCGGACUCCCAUAGGCCUGGGUAGCCACGUGGAUUUGUCAGGUCCAGCCCAACCGGAGGCUCGUCCCACAGCCCUCUUUAGUUCCAUUCCUCCCUUCUCCUCGUGGCUUUUCCUCACCGUGCGAGAACUUGGACUUCCCAGGACUCGGGGCGGAAAAUUAUGAGAAGGUGGAGCUUGCUUAGAAACUUGUCAAGGACACAGUGAAACCUCUCACCCCACAGACUGCUGAAAUGCUGGUCUGUGACCGGAAGGUUGUCCAAUAUGUGGAGCUUUCUGCAUUCACAUGGAAAAAUGUAAAGAAAGUACGUAGUUGACAAAGCACUAUUGGCUGUCCUGGAGCCUCUAGAACUGAAGAAGAGCGCAGCGGUAUCAUCUGGAGCCUGGCAGAAGAUUACACAAGACCAGUGCUCUCUGUUUAUGACCCAUGUGGAUGCCUAUGGAAAAGGACUCUUGGUGGAUAAACAUCAAUGGAAUCUUCAAGCUAAUUUGACCUGAACUUCCCAGGUCCAGUGUUUGAUGAAACUCAUGAAAGUGCAUGGAACCCAACUUGCCCUCUUCUCUAGAAUGCAAUGCAUAUGUGAUUGCGACUUUUAAGAAACCCUCAUAGGUACUUGGCUGUUCUAAUUUGGCUACCUGGCAACAAGGAUCUGUAAUAUCUUAACUACCACCUACAAAGAGGAAAUCAGUUCUUCUUGUGAGCUUAUUCUGAUAAUGCCAUAUUGUGAGCAACCUUAUAGAGAGACCCAUAUGGCAGGGAACUGAGGAUGGCCUAUGGCAAGCAGCCAGGGAGGAACUGCCCGCAACCGAACAGCCUGGGAAUAACUGAAUCCUUCCAACAGUGAGUGAACUUGGAAGCAGAUCCUUUUUCAGUUAAGCCCUCAGAUGAGAUCACAGCCCUGGAUGACCUUUGACUACCGUCUUGAGAGAGACCCUGAAGCACAUAAUCUAGCUAAGUCAUGAUGAGAUUCCUCACCCACAGAAACUAUGAGAUAAUAAAUGUGUGUUGUUUAUAAUCCACUAAUCUGGGGGGUAUUUUGUUACACAGUAAUAGAUAACUAAUACAUCCACUUUAUACCUGUUAAUUUUCUUUGUUCUGAACCCUACUUUUAAAUUAACUACUCUAGCUUCCUUUUUAUUAGUGUUUACUUUUUUCUCCCACUCUUUAAAUUUCAACCUACCUAUAUCAUUAUAUUUGAAAUGAGUUUCUAGUGACAGAAUAUAGUUAUUUUUUAAUCCAUUUUGAUAUAUUCUUUAAUUAGUAUGUUUAAGUAUAUGAUUAUUGAUAUUUAAAUUUCAAUUUCCUAUCAUUUUAUUAUAUGUCCUCUGUUUAUUUUCUAUGUUUUUCAUUCUUCUCAUAUCCCUUUAUUACCAUCUUUUGGGAAAUGAGAAUAUUUUUGGUAUUCCAUUUUAAUUUAUUGAUUGCAUUUUUAGCUGUCUCUUUGCACAGUUUUAUGUAGUGGUUGGUUGCACCAGAGAUUAUGAUGUACACACUUAACUUUUCACAGUUUGCUUAGAAUCAAUAUUUUAUCAUUGCAAAUGGCCUGCCAUUUAGGUCCCUUUACUUUUACUCCUUUAUAUUGUAAUUGUUUUUGCAUAGUAUACCUACACACACUGAAAACUCAAUAAGAAAUGUUAUAAUUUUUGCUUUCAACCAUCAAACAUUUUAAAGAAUCAAGAGAAAAAAGAAUAUUCUGUAUUAUUUACCCAGAUAUUCACACUUCAUGUUAUUCUUCCUUCCUUUCUAAUGUUCCUUGUUUCUGUCUGAUGUUAUUUCCCUUAUGUUUAAACUUCCUUUCACAUUUUGUAGAGCAGGUUUUUUGCAACAAAUUCUUAGUUUCCUUUUACCUGAGUGUGUCUUUAUUUCAUUUCUUUCCUGAAACAUAGUUUCAUUAGAUAUAGAAUUCUGAGUUGAACAUCUAUUACUGCAUGAAAUGACCAAUAAUAUUAACAUUUUUUUUUCUAAACUCAACCCUACAUUUUUAAUUGUAUGAAGCAUGAAACUACCAUACAAACUUCCAUAUUAUGGAGUAUCAUGGGGAUUUAAUUUUUUUCUUAUUACCAAAGUAAUAUGUGUGGAAUUCAGAGCUUUUGAAAAAUAGAGAAAAGCACACAUUUAAAAUGAGACUUAAAUCUCUGUAAUCCUAACACACAAAAAGGACCCACUGUUAAAAUUUUGUUCUUUGUAAAUAUGUACACCUUUUAAAUAAAGCUAGAAAUAUAUUAUA